rnacentral:pre_miRNA from 1 species
AGAUGAAACAUCUUACCGGACGGCGUUAGAGUUAUUGUUACGUCUAAUACUGUCAGGUAAAGAUGUCUCAAAC